AACGAACGCUGGCGGCAUGCCUAACACAUGCAAGUCGAACGAGACCUUCGGGUCUAGUGGCGCACGGGUGCGUAACGCGUGGGAACCUGCCCUUAGGUUCGGAAUAACUCCCCGAAAGGGGUGCUAAUACCGGAUAAUGUCUUCGGACCAAAGAUUUAUCGCCUUUGGAUGGGCCCGCGUUGGAUUAGCUAGUUGGUAGGGUAAAAGCCUACCAAGGCGACGAUCCAUAGCUGGUCUGAGAGGAUGAUCAGCCACACUGGGACUGAGACACGGCCCAGACCCCUACGGGGGGCAGCAGGGGGGAAUAUUGGACAAUGGGCGAAAGCCUGACCCAGCAAUGCCGGGUGAGUGAUGAAGGCCUUGGGGUUGUAAAGCUCUUUUCCCCGGGAUGAUAAUGACAGUACCGGGAGAAUAAGCCCCGGCUAACCCCGU
rnacentral:rRNA from 1 species